rnacentral:rRNA from 1 species
CGACAAGUCUUAUCCGAGGGAAUUUGUGCUAAACGAAUCUUUUGUUAGUUCUAGAAAUACUAACGAAUAAGGGGUGGGCAAGUUCUGGUGUCAGCCGCCGCCGGUAAAACCAGCACCUCAAGUGGUCAGGAUGAUUAUUGGGCCUAAAGCAUCCGUAGCCGGCUCUGUAAGUUUUCGGUUAAAUCUGUACGCUUAACGUACAGGCUGCCGGGAAUACUGCAGAGCUAGGGAGUGGGAGAGGUAGACGGUACUCGGUAGGAAGGGGUAAAAUCCUUUGAUCUAUUGAUGACCACCUGUGGCGAAGGCGGUCUACCAGAACACGUCCGACGGUGAGGGAUGAAAGCUGGGGGAGCAAACCGGAUUAGAUACCCGGGUAGUCCCAGCUGUAAACUNUGCAAACUCAGUGAUGCAUUGACUUGNGGUCAAUGCAGUGCUGCAGGGAAGCCGNUNAGUUUGCCGCCUGGGAAGUACGUACGCAAGUAUNAAACUUNAAGGAAUUGGCGGGGGAGCACCCCAAG